GACUAUAGGACGGUGAGCCUCAUGCAUAGCAUUGCAAAGAUCAUGGGAAAGCUGUUGGCCUCACGGCUUGCUCCUGAGCUUGACGGGCUCAUUUCGAUGUCCCAAAGGGCAUUCAUUAAGAAGAGGUCGAUUCAAGACAAUUUCAUUUUUGUUAGGAAUGUCAUGAAAGAUGCUCAUUCAAAGAGGAAGCCUUUGCUGUUCUUGAAGCUUGAUUUCACCAAAGCGUUUGAUUCAGUAAGAUGGGAUUCCAUGCUUGAGGCUCUUAAUGCUUAUGGGUUCAGCGAUCGAUGGAGGAACCUCAUCUCACUGAUUCUGGGAUCCUCCUCCUCCCAUGUUCUUCUCAAUGGUUUGCAAGGAAGAUCUUCUGCUCACAAGAAAGGGUUGAGGCAGGGCGACCCCUUGGCCCCAAUGCUAUUCAUUUUGGCCCUUGAGCCCUUCCAAGAGAUGCUUUCCAUUGCUACACAACAGGGGUUGCUUUCUCUGGUCACUUGUAGUGCUGCUAGAAUGAGAGUGAGUUUCUAUGUUGAUGAUGCUGCCUUAUUUGUAAACCCAAUCAAGGAGGAGCUGGCCCUGCUCUCAGCCAUUCUUAAUUUCUUCGGGCUCACUUCCGGCCUAAGCAUCAACCUUAACAAAUGUGUCACUUUUCCAAUUAGCUGCGGAAACAUUAACCUUCAGGAUGUACUGCCAGAAUUCGAUGGACAAUAUGGACAGUUUCCCUGCCGAUACCUUGGGUUACUGGUUGGUCCACAAGUGCCAAAGAGAAUCGAGAUUCAGCCUAUCCUUGACCAGUUUGCUGCAACUGCAAGGCUAAAGCCUUGGAAGGGCAAGCUAAUGAAUAGAGCGGGAAGACUUGCCUUGCUUAACUCUGUUCUCACUCCUCUAACCACAUAUCUCUUUACGGCAUUCAUACCCUCCAAAUGGCUCAUCAAGAGGAUUGAUAAAAUUAUAAGAAGCUUCCUGUGGAGUGGCGAAGAGGAGGCUGCCGGAAGCAAAUGUUUGGUUAACUAG
rnacentral:rRNA from 1 species